UCCUGGAUCCUCACAUUACUUCUUAAAAGU
rnacentral:piRNA from 1 species